UACGUAGGUGGCGAGCGUUUGUCCGGAUUUACUGGGCGUAAAGGGCGUGCAGGCGGUUUGUUAAGUGCAGGGUGAAAGCUCCCGGCUCAACUGGGAGAGGUCCUUGCAUACUGGCGAACUCGAGGGAGGCAGAGGAAAGUGGAAUUCCCGGUGUAGUGGUGAUAUGCGUAGAUAUCGGGAGGAACACCUGUGGCGAAGGCGGCUUUCUGGGCCUUACCUGACGCUGAGACGCGAAAAGCGUGGGGAGCGAACCGG
rnacentral:rRNA from 1 species